rnacentral:rRNA from 1 species
GAUGAACGCUGGCUACAGGCUUAACACAUGCAAGUCGAGGGGAAACGACGGGGAAGCUUGCUUCCCCGGGCGUCGACCGGCGCACGGGUGAGUAACGCGUAUCCAACCUGCCUCUGACUGAGGGAUAACCCGUCGAAAGUCGGCCUAAUACCUCAUGGUAUCGUCUGCGGGCAUCCAACGACGAUUAAAGAUUUCAUCGGUCAGGGAUGGGGAUGCGUCUGAUUAGCUUGUUGGCGGGGUAACGGCCCACCAAGGCUACGAUCAGUAGGGGUUCUGAGAGGAAGGUCCCCCACAUUGGAACUGAGACACGGUCCAAACUCCUACGGGAGGCAGCAGUGAGGAAUAUUGGUCAAUGGGCGAGAGCCUGAACCAGCCAUGUAGCGUGCAGGAAGACGGCCCUAUGGGUUGUAAACUGCUUUUAUGCGGGGAUAAAGUGAGGGACGUGUCCCUCAUUGCAGGUACCGCAUGAAUAAGGACCGGCUAAUUCCGUG